CUUUUGAUGGCGACCGGCGCACGGGUGAGUAACACGUAUCCAACCUGCCUCAUACUCGGGGAUAGCCUUUCGAAAGAAAGAUUAAUACCCGAUGUCAUAGUCCUACCGCAUGAUGGGAUUAUUAAAGAAUUUCAGUAUGGGAUGGGGAUGCGUUCCAUUAGUUAGUUGGCGGGGUAACGGCCCACCAAGACAACGAUGGAUAGGGGUUCUGAGAGGAAGGUCCCCCACAUUGGAACUGAGACACGGUCCAAACUCCUACGGGAGGCAGCAG
rnacentral:rRNA from 1 species